AGACCCGAAACCCGGUGAUCUAGCCAUGGGCAGGUUGAAGGUUGGGUAACACUAACUGGAGGACCGAACCGACUAAUGUUGAAAAAUUAGCGGAUGACCUGUGGCUGGGGGUGAAAGGCCAAUCAAACCGGGAGAUAGCUGGUUCUCCCCGAAAGCUAUUUAGGUAGCGCCUCGUGAAUUCAUCUCCGGGGGUAGAGCACUGUUUCGGCUAGGGGGCCAUCCCGGCUUACCAACCCGAUGCAAACUGCGAAUACCGGAGAAUGUUAUCACGGGAGACACACGGCGGGUGCUAACGUCCGUCGUGAAGAGGGAAACAACCCAGACCGCCAGCUAAGGUCCCAAAGUCAUGGUUAAGUGGGAAACGAUGUGGGAAGGCCCAGACAGCCAGGAUGUUGGCUUAGAAGCAGCCAUCAUUUAAAGAAAGCGUAAUAGCUCACUGGUCGAGUCGGCCUGCGCGGAAGAUGUAACGGGGCUAAACCAUGCACCGAAGCUGCGGCAGCGAACGUAUCACCCAAGACAACUUUACGGAGUUGACGAUUGACGGAGCGAAGCGACGUCAAAGCGUUCAUUAAAGUCGAGUUGGCUUAGGGAUACGUUCGUUGGGUAGGGGAGCGUUCUGUAAGCCUGUGAAGGUGUGUCGUGAGGCAUGCUGGAGGUAUCAGAAGUGCGAAUGCUGACAUA
rnacentral:rRNA from 6 species